rnacentral:rRNA from 1 species
UACGGAGGAUCCAAGCGUUAUCCGGAAUCAUUGGGUUUAAAGGGUCCGUAGGCGGUCUUGUAAGUCAGUGGUGAAAGCCCAUCGCUCAACGGUGGAACGGCCAUUGAUACUGCUAAACUUGAAUUAUUAGGAAGUAACUAGAAUAUGUAGUGUAGCGGUGAAAUGCUUAGAUAUUACAUGGAAUACCAAUUGCGAAGGCAGGUUACUACUAAUGGAUUGACGCUGAUGGACGAAAGCGUGGGUAGCGAACAGG